UGGGGAAUAUUGCGCAAUGGGGGAAACCCUGACGCAGCGACGCCGCGUGCGGGAUGAAGGCCUUCGGGUUGUAAACCGCUUUUGAUUGGGAGCAAGCUUUCGGGUGAGUGUACCUUUCGAAUAAGCGCCGGCUACCUACGUGCCAGCAGCCGCGGUAAUCCGUAGGGCGCAAGCGUUAUCCGGAAUUAUUGGGCGUAAAGAGCUUGUAGGCGGUUCGUCGCGUCUGGUGUGAAAGCCCAUCGCUUAACGGGGGGUUUGCGCCGGGUACGGGCGGGCUAGAGUGCAGGAGGGGAGACUGGAAUUCCCGGUGUAACGGUGGAAGGGGUAGAUAUAUGGAGGAACACCGGUGGCGAAAGCGGCUCGCUGGUCUGUAACUGACGCUGAGGCUCGAAAGCGUGGGGAGCGAGCAGG
rnacentral:rRNA from 1 species